rnacentral:rRNA from 1 species
AUUGAACGCUGGCGGCAGGCCUAACACAUGCAAGUCGAGCGGAUGAAGGGAGCUUGCUCCUGGACUCAGCGGCGGACGGGUGAGUAAUGCCUAGGAAUCUGCCUGGUAGUGGGGGAUAACGUCCGGAAACGGGCGCUAAUACCGCAUACGUCCUGAGGGAGAAAGUGGGGGAUCUUCGGACAUCACGCUAUCAGAUGAGCCUAGGUCGGAUUAGCUAGUUGGUGGGGUAAAGGCCUACCAAGGCGACGAUCCGUAACUGGUCUGAGAGGAUGAUCAGUCACACUGGAACUGAGACACGGUCCAGACUCCUACGGGAGGCAGCAGUGGGGAAUAUUGGACAAUGGGCGAAAGCCUGAUCCAGCCAUGCCGCGUGUGUGAAGAAGGUCUUCGGAUUGUAAAGCACUUUAAGUUGGGAGGAAGGGCAGUAAGUUAAUACCUUGCUGUUUUGACGUUACCAACAGAAUAAGCACCGGCUAACUUCGUG